rnacentral:rRNA from 1 species
CCUACGGCGGCAGCAGUGAGGAAUAUUGGUCAAUGGGCGCGAGCCUGAACCAGCCAAAUAGCGUGAAGGAUGACUGCUCUACGGGUUGUAAACUUCUUUUAUAAAGGAAUAAAGUGAGGCACGUGUGCCUUUUUGUAUGUACUUUAUGAAUAAGGAUCGGCUAACCCCGUGCCAGCAGCCGCGGUAAUACGGAGGAUCCGAGCGUUAUCCGGAUUUAUUGGGUUUAAAGGGAGCGUAGAUGGGUUGUUAAGUCAGGUGUGAAAGUUUGGGGGUCAACCGUAAAAUUGCAAUUGAUACUGGCAGUCUUGAGUACAGUUGAGGUAGGCGGAAUUCGUGGUGUAGCGGUGAAAUGCUUAGAUAUCGCGAAGAACUCCGAUUGCGAAGGCAGCGUACUAAACUGCCACUGACAUUGAUGCUCGAAAGUGUGGGUAUCAAACAGGAUUAGAUACCCGGGUAGUC